UAGGGAAUCUUCCGCAAUGGGCGAAAGCCUGACGGAGCAAUGCCGCGUGAGUGAUGAAGGUUUUCGGAUCGUAAAGCUCUGUUGCCAGGGAAGAACGUCCUUAAGAGUAACUGCUUAAGGAGUGACGGUACCUGAGAAGAAAGCCCCGGCUAACUACGUGCCAGCAGCCGCGGUAAUACGUAGGGGGCAAGCGUUGUCCGGAAUUAUUGGGCGUAAAGCGCGCGCAGGCGGUCAUUUAAGUCUGGUGUUUAAUCCCGGGGCUCAACCCCGGAUCGCACUGGAA
rnacentral:rRNA from 1 species